GGGGGAGAGCUUUGUGGUUCUACAUGCACCGGCGACGAGUACAAUCGCCACUUCAGAGGACAACUCCCCUCUAUGAUCCAAGAGUCCCUUUGAAAACCAUGACCAAGGCAUAUCACGAGAGAGCUACUAGAUUUAACUUGAGCUACUAGCAACCUUUGAAAAUCAAUGAUGAAACCUUUGAAAACUUGGCUAAGAGAAUCAUUAGUGAAAUCAAGAGAGCUACUAGCAACAAUAUCAUUAGAUUUAGCUUUAGCAUUGUUGUUACUAGAUGAAGAAACUUUCUUGCCUUUGUUACUAGUGUUCUUAGGUUUAAUUCGAGGAACAAAAGUAGACAAGAGUAGUCGUUUGGCUAGAUAAGAAGAACUCUUCUUUCGAAGAUCAUCAUUGAUUGCUUUUAGGAAUUCAUGCUCUUGCUCCAAGUUGAGCUUCUCGAAGCAUAUCUUCUCAUGAGUUCUUGCAAGCUCUCUAUG
rnacentral:lncRNA from 1 species